UACAUGGGGUGCAAACGUUGCUCGGAAUUAUUGGGCGUAAAGCGCACGUAGGCGGUUCGUUAAGUCGGAUGUGAAAGCCCCUCGGCUCAACUGAGGAAGUGCACCCGAAACUGGCGAGCUUGAGUACGAAAGAGGAUCGCGGAAUUCCCGGUGUAGAGGUGAAAUUCGUAGAUAUCGGGAGGAACACCGGUGGCGAAGGCGGCGAUCUGGGUCGAUACUGACGCUGAGGUGCGAAAGCGUGGGGAGCAAACAGGG
rnacentral:rRNA from 1 species